GGGGGUGAACAGGGUUCGACGAGGGUGUCUGAGAUUCUGGUCGCAGGUCGAAGUCGUCCGCGCUUCGUUAAAAAACGGGCAAACCGUUAAACGCCAACACUGAGUUGGCUCUCGCGGCCUAAUACGCCGUGACGCUUGUCCCUGAACGCCGGCUACAGGGAACGAGCGCCAUUAGCCGGCUGGCCGCAUCCCGCGCGUUUCGUCGGGACCGGUGAGACACAACGGAGCUGGCACCCCAGCGGUUCUGUCUAGGGACAACUAGGGUGCGAGACCAAAGCCUAGGCUAAACCUGUAGUGACCGAGUCAACGCACUCCCGGACGCGGGUUCAAUUCCCGCCACCUCCACCA
rnacentral:tmRNA from 1 species